UACAGAGGUCCCAAGCGUUGUUCGGAUUCGCUGGGCGUAAAGGGUGCGUAGGUGGUGAGGUAAGUCGGAUGUGAAAUCUCCGAGCUCAACUCGGAAAUGGCAUUGGAAACUACCUUGCUCGAGGGUUGGAGGGGGGACUGGAAUGCUUGGUGUAGCAGUGAAAUGCGUAGAUAUCAAGCGGAACACCAGUGGCGAAGGCGAGUCCCUGGACAACUCCUGACACUGAGGCACGAAAGCUAGGGGAGCAAACAGG
rnacentral:rRNA from 1 species